AUUGAACGCUGGCGGAAUGCUUUACACAUGCAAGUCGAACGGCAGCACGGACUUCGGUCUGGUGGCGAGUGGCGAACGGGUGAGUAAUACAUCGGAACGUGCCCAGUCGUGGGGGAUAACGUAGCGAAAGUUACGCUAAUACCGCAUACGAUCUACGGAUGAAAGCGGGGGACCGUAAGGCCUCGCGCGAUUGGAGCGGCCGAUGGCAGAUUAGGUAGUUGGUGAGGUAAAGGCUCACCAAGCCGACGAUCUGUAGCUGGUCUGAGAGGACGACCGGCCACACUGGGACUGAGACACGGCCCAGACUCCUACGGGAGGCAGCAGUGGGGAAUUUUGGACAAUGGGCGCAAGCCUGAUCCAGCCAUUCCGCGUGCAGGACGAAGGCCUUCGGGUUGUAAACUGCUUUUGUACAGAACGAAAAGGUUUCUACUAAUACUAGGAGCUCAUGACGGUACUGUAAGAAUAAGCACCGGCUAACUACGUGCCAGCCGCCGCAGUAA
rnacentral:rRNA from 1 species